ACAUCGGUGGUUCAGUGGCAAAAUGUUCGCCUGCCAUGCGGGCGGUCCGAGCUCGAUUCCCAGCCGAUGCA
rfam:Haemonchus placei strain MHpl1 genome assembly, scaffold: HPLM_scaffold0004909